AUACUUACCUGGCAGGGGUGAUCCCAUGAUCACAAAGGUGGUUUCCCCAGGGCGAGGCUUAUCCUUUGCACUCCAGAUGGGCUGACUCUCGUAAUUUCCCCAAAUGUGGGAAACUUAACUGCAUAAUUUGUGGUAGUGGGGGACUGCAUUGGCAUUCUCCCC